rnacentral:rRNA from 1 species
UACGAGGGGGCAAGCGUUGUUCGGAAUUAUUGGGCGUAAAGGGUGCGUAGGCGGUCUGACAGUCUGAUGUGAAAUCUAUGGGCUCAACCCAUAGUCUGCAUCGGAAACUGUCGGGCUGGAGUAUGGGAGAGGUGAGUGGAAUUUCCGGUGUAGCGGUGGAAUGCGCAGAUAUCAGGAGGAACACCGAUGGCGAAGGCAGAUCUCUGGGCCGUAACUGACGCUGAGGAGCGAAAGCGUGGGGAGCGAACAGG